UGCCAGCCGCCGCGGUAACACGGGGGGCGCAAGCGUUAUUCGGAAUUAUUGGGCGUAAAGCGCACGUAGGCGGGUCAGUCAGUCAGGGGUGAAAUCCCGAGGCUCAACCUCGGAACUGCCUUUGAUACUGCUGGCCUUGAGGUCGAGAGAGGUGAGUGGAAUUCCUAGUGUAGAGGUGAAAUUCGUAGAUAUUAGGAAGAACACCAGUGGCGAAGGCGGCUCACUGGCUCGAUUCUGAAGCUGAGGUGCGAAAGCGUGGGGAGCAAACAGGAUUAGAUA
rnacentral:rRNA from 1 species